GAAAGCUGGAUGCCUGGGAACAGGCACGUCCGGUUUGGCGGAGGGGCCGACAGAAAAGGGCGAUUGCACCUCGCUGGCGGCCUACUCUAC
rfam:Ktedonobacter racemifer DSM 44963 strain SOSP1-21 Krac_Contig204, whole genome shotgun sequence.